UGAAGCCACCCACCCUCCCAGAAGCAGAGGCUAGGCGUUCAUCAUCCAGAAGAUUUGCUUGAGCUUGAGCUUGGAUUUAACCUCUAGAACUAUGAGAGAUACAUUUCUGGCCCUGCAUCCAAAGACUGAUGUCCUUAUAAGGAGAGGGGGCAGAACAGAGAGACACACGGAAAGAAGCCGGUGAAGACAAAGGCUGCCUGUCUUGUCUCUGUUUCUCUCUCCACAUCACUAAUCACAUAGUGUGGACUUAUCUCACAACCUCAUUGAGUGACAAGGACCUUUUUAUAUCUCCAGUCAAAACUCGGUGUUCCAGCACAGAGACUGGCACAUGGGAAAGAGGGUUUUGUGGGAGCAUCCAGCUGACCUUGGGCACUGUGUUUUCCUGAAAACCCUGUUCUUCUAAUCUGAUCAUACCCAGAAGCAAACUUUUAUUUCUCAUCCUGUGUUCCAGGACCUCGCCAUUUU